AGUGAACGCUGGCGGUAGGCCUAACACAUGCAAGUCGAACGGUAGCACAGUAAGAGCUUGCUCUUACGGGUGGCGAGUGGCGGACGGGUGAGGAAUACAUCGGAAUCUACUUUUUUGUGGGGGAUAACGUAGGGAAACUUACGCUAAUACCGCAUACGACCUACGGGUGAAAGCAGGGGAUCUUCGGACCUUGCGCGAUUGAAUGAGCCGAUGUCGGAUUAGCUAGUUGGCGGGGUAAAGGCCCACCAAGGCGACGAUCCGUAGCUGGUCUGAGAGGAUGAUCAGCCACACUGGAACUGAGACACGGUCCAGACUCCUACGGGAGGCAGCAGUGGGGAAUAUUGGACAAUGGGCGCAAGCCUGAUCCAGCCAUACCGCGUGGGUGAAGAAGGCCUUCGGGUUGUAAAGCCCUUUUGUUGGGAAAGAAAAGCAGCAGGUUAAUACCCCGCUGUUCUGACGGUACCCAAAGAAUAAGCACCGGCUAACUUCGUG
rnacentral:rRNA from 1 species